CACGUAGGGCGCAAGCGUUGUCCGGAAUUAUUGGGCGUAAAGAGCUCGUAGGCGGUCUGUUGCGUCCGCUGUGAAAACUCGGGGCUUAACCCCGAGCCUGCAGUGGAUACGGGCAGACUUGAGGUAGGUAGGGGAGAAUGGAAUUCCCGGUGUAGCGGUGAAAUGCGCAGAUAUCGGGAGGAACACCGGUGGCGAAGGCGGUUCUCUGGGCCUUACCUGACGCUGAGGAGCGAAAGCGUGGGGAGCGAACAGG
rnacentral:rRNA from 1 species